GGGUUCUUCUUGUGGAAGUGGUCAUUGAGUCCGACAGCCCACUGGCCGAUUCAACAAGUCAAAUCGGGCAAAAUGGAUGCCGACUGACGACGGCACGGAACACACCGAGCAGACUUGAGCCACCGACCUCGCCCGACUGUCCGACGGCCAAUAAUUGGGUUGGUGUGUCAGAGCCUUAAAAG